CGGCAGUUGGAAAGCGGAUCUGAGCAGAGGGGACCGUUGGGACGAGGCGGCUGUUGGGGAGGGACUGUUGAGGGACAGAGGACAGGACUGUGACCUCAAAGAGGCGAGCUGAGGGCGGACACUGGCUGGAAGAGGAUUAAACGAACUCAUGGAUGUAAAGUAAUAUGUGUAAAGCACUGAACAGAGGCUGCCGUAAUCAGGGGCAAGAAGAGAUUGGAGGAGCCACUCCAGGGGCUACUGAAAAUAAGGCCAUGCGCAGUCGCAGACCCCUGGGGGAAAGCACGCAGAAUGGAGGCGUCACGACACCGAGCACCAGCUAGAUGCCAGAGACGGUUCUUCACUGUGACUCAAGGUGAAAGUCAUGCUUGGCUGAUACCACCUGUGUCCGUCUGGAGUUAGAUCUGAGGACAGAAGCUCCUCUAGCCAGAGACAGUAUCUGAGCCAUCCCUGAGAUCCCCGCAAGGCCCCACUGACAGGUCUGGGGAAGUUCCAAGACCCCACCAAGCUCCAGCCACCACAUACGGCCAUCUUGUGCCCAGUCCCUCCCCGCCCCUCCGUUGGAGGAGCAGGGUGCUGCGGGAGAAAGAGCCCUGGAUUUGGAGUCAGGGUCUAGAGGAGGUCUGCACCAUCCUGCCCAAUGACCUUGAGCAAACGGACUCUUCCCUCUGUGCUUGAAUCUCCGCAUCUGUAAACCACGGAUAUAUGGCAUCGGACCCGAGUCUCCCAGGAGCCUUUUGGGCCUACCUCUGUUUCCUCUGCAAAGCUCGGCCCAGAUACCAUCUUUGCCACCAUCUCCCCUCCGAUGGCCGUCCCUGUCACUUGGUGCUCCUUCCUGCUCCCCCAGCCCACCGUACUCUACUCUGUCAAAUCUUUGCCUCAUGUUCCCUCGAUCAUCUGCCUCACUGGAGAAACUGCAAGGAGGCUGGAAGCGUCUGCUCAUUUCUGGGGCCCAAAGUGCCGGUCCCGCUGGCUGGGGCAUGGAAAGCCACCAAUAGCUGGUGCUGAGUGGCCACCCUUGCCCAGCCACGGGGAUGAGACCUCCGGCCAAGGAGAGGCGCUGGGGCCCUCCCCAGGGAAGAGCCUGAACGCGGCCCAGCUGUGGACAGCACGAUGCCUUUCCUGUUAGUUGUCGAGACGCGCCCGACAGUGCGACGUGUUGGUUCUGGUGACACGACUGCCCUGUGUCGGCGUGGGCAGACUGCUGGCCUCCCCGAGGAGCACAGAAGGGGGCCUGCAGGACCCGAGCGGGCAGGCUUGUUGAUGGUGCGUGCACAGGUGACAGCUCUUGGUGCUGACUGCUGCUCCACGUGCCCUGCUCACACUCCCCGCCGCAGACCGAGGGCCCCAGGUGGCCAGCCUGCCUGAGCCGCACCUGGGAGAGACCCUGGUUCCGGUCGGCGUCCCGCAGGGGCCUGUGCCCGAGGAGGGAGCUGCCUCUGCUCCACACCUGGCGUCGUCCACGUCCGCGCUUCUUCCAGGGGAGUGACUGUCACUGGUGAGGGCCGGCCAGGUACCUUUGGUGACGUCUCCGUGCAGAGGCUGAGCCGGGUGCGCAGUCUGGCUGGGAUCCCGCUCACUGCGUGAUCCCGAGGGGGGCUCCGAACCUGGAGUGCUGGGGGUCGUCCCUGCGGCUCUGCCACGUGCCGCCUGCGUCACUUUGGAAAAGUUAUCUCUGUCUUCUCCUCUGUCCCGUGGUGGUUGUGUGAAUAGUCCCGAUCUGAUCGGGCGGUGCAGGGUUUCUAUGAGGUCAUAUAGGCAGAAGGUUCUUCGAGCAGAGUUAUUUUACUUAUAAAGAUAAAAAAAAAAUUGGAAUUCACCCUAAAAAGAGUAUUUGACCUCAGUAUCGUUGGGUGUCUGGGAUUGAGGGGUGUUCAUGAAUGGGCAGCAGGGAUUGAUGAACCCUCCCCAAGCUGCAAAGCUUUGCACCUGUGUGUGCGUGUAGAAAUGUUUUGCCCCUCUUAACUAAGAUGCUCAGAGGCGUCGUGUUUCCAGAUUGGAUGCCGGGGGGACCUCAAGUGCCUUUGUUGUAGGCCAGAGUUUCUCAGCCUUGGCACUAUUGAUGUUUAAGGGCCAGAUCAUUUCUGGUUGUGGGGCCCCGUCCCGUGCAUUGCAGGGUGAUUAGCAGUUUCUUGGGCUCUGUCUGUCAAAUGCCAGUCACAGCCUCCACCCCGUCCCCAGCCCAGUUUUGAAACGAAAAAUGUCUCCAGACAUCGCUCAGUGUCCCUGGGGGAGAGAGUGGGGACGAGCUUGCUCCCCGUUGAGAACUGUUGCUUUGCGACGUUCCCUGGGGACUCAGCCCUCGGCGAGUGGUUCUUACUCCCCGUGUUGAAGUUUAGCGAGAUUCCUUUUCUGAACCUUGGUGAUCUCUACUACUUCUGUGCAGAGUCUGGAGGACCCCGUGCAGUCCGGGGAAAGGGGUUUUGCAAAGUCGAUGGACUACAGGUCUGUCCAAGGCCAGCCCCAUUGGAUAGAAAGUUCUGGUUCUUAAACCUGGCAGGGCAGCCGAAUCAACUGGAACCUGGUUCUUUCUGUCUUCUACAAUUAGCUAAAAUAGUAGGAGCUACACCUGAAAUUAACCACGGAUUCUCUGGGGAGCAAAAUCUUGAGGUGAACUUCUUUUGUGGGGAAUAUGUUUUUGUUCAACCACAAGUCUCAGAAUUGGUAGUUCCGCAUCCUGGGGGAAGACCAGAGAAGGGUCUUAAGGAGAAGGCCCAGAAGGAAACAGAGGUGGAAGCACUUGAGGUCCCCACUAUUUAGGAGGUAGUCUCAAAGAUCAGGGGACAGGGGUGGGCACCUGCUCCUGGGGUCCCCUGGCUGUGGGGAGGAGGCUAUUUGAGACUUUUUGUUUUGGGUGGUUAUGUUUAAUCAUCCUCCAUAGACGAAUCGAGUUCUCUUUCUCUUGUUUGAUUUCUUGUAUGUCUGCUCUAAAAUCUCCCUGGUAAUUCCAAACCACUCAAGAAUGUGUCACUGCUCUGGCGUGAAGGUUAUUCUCCCGGACGUUGGAAGCUUUUUUUCUGAGUGUCUCGAGGAGCUCGCUUUGGGGCAGUCCUCCCGUUAGGGGUUUGCUAGCAUGGCGGCUCCUCAUUACUGAGAGUGUCUCUGAUGCGCGACACAGGACAACAGAGGCGAGCUUUGGAAACGCGGUUGGUGCAGCAGGGAACGCCUCCAGGCUUCCGUGCAGGGAAGCAGGUACUAGAUUUUGCAUGGAGUCGGUGAUCCCAGGUGUAAGGGUCGGCCUCCAUAGUACUGAGCAUGGUCAUGCGAGCCCCUCUGUGAUCCCGUGGACCUGGGCCACCCACUGUGCAGCUGCUGAACUUGGUGCUUUGGGAUCCCAACCACACCUUGCCAUACCACGGUUGUCCCCCAACCGAGGUAACCUGUGCCGAGGUGGCCUGAGCUGGGUGAGGCGUGUGCACCAAGGCAACGCGGGCUGGCCGUUUUUGAGGCUCUCUGCAGAGUGGAAGUGACUGUUUACACAGGAGUCUCUAAACGACGAUCCUAGGAUGUUGAGAGCAGCAUGAUCUAAACCAAAUCAAUGUUGUAGGUCAUCACUGUAUUGGAGAUUCCAGUUUUCCAUGUGAGCCCGCGAGGUAGCCACAGAGCCGGGGCACCGGAUUAGGGGCUAAUUGCAAAUGGCACCUCCAGGAACGCGUCUUAGAGCCGGGCGCGCCGCACAGGGGGUGUGGCGCACAGGGGGUGUGGCGCACAGGGGGUGUGGC